GGACCUUUGGGGGGUAUUUUCACAUUUAGCCACCAUGGGUGGGGGCCAGAUGGGAGAACAAUAGGUCCCCCCUAUUUUCAUUUAGGGCCCCCACUCGCCGCUCAGGGGUGAGGGCCAGGGGGAGGACAAUAGGUCCCCCCUAUUUUCAUUUAGGGCCCCCUCCUGCCACCCCGGUUAAAAAGAAAACUGGAUUUGGCCAUGACAGUGCCGCUUUAAGGCAGAUAUAACUCUG